rnacentral:rRNA from 1 species
UACGAAGGGGGCGAGCGUUGUUCGGAAUUACUGGGCGUAAAGGGCGCGCAGGCGGCCUUAGAAGUCAGAUGUGAAAGCCCCGGGCUCAACCUGGGAAUGGCAUUUGAUACUCUGAGGCUGGAGUACGGGAGAGGAGAGUGGAAUUCCCAGUGUAGAGGUGAAAUUCGUAGAUAUUGGGGAGAACACCGGUGGCGAAGGCGGCUCUCUGGACCGUAACUGACGCUGAGGCGCGAAAGCGUGGGGAGCAAACAGG